UACGUAGGGUGCAAGCGUUAAUCGGAAUCACUGGGCGUAAAGGGCGUGUAGGCGGCUGAAUAAGUGGGAUGUUAAAUCCCCCGGCUCAACCGGGGACCUGCAUCUCAUACUGUUCAGCUCGAGCACAUCAGAGGAGACUGGAAUUCCCGGUGUAACGGUGAAAUGCGUAGAUAUCGGGAGGAACACCAGUGGCGAAGGCGAGUCUCUGGGAUGAUGCUGACGCUGAGGCGCGAAAGCCAGGGGAGCAAACGGG
rnacentral:rRNA from 1 species